UGAUCAUUGGUUGGAAGGAAAGGGAAAAAUGUAUCAAUCAAGUAAGUUUUCGAAAGAACAGAUACAUGAGGCGUAUGACAAGUAUGCAAAUCCUUCAAUGAAUGGCAGUUCAUCAUCCAAGGAAUCCAACAUUACAGUUAAAGCCUGGAAACCAGUCACAAAAGCGAAAAGUGACAUAUCACAAACUCAACAUGCGAAGGGGAAUAUCAGUGAAAAUUUGAAAACAAUAAAACUCAUAUAUCUAACCCUUUGAAUGAAAAUGUUAAAUUUGUUGGCAGUUUCAAAACAAGGGUUUAUGAUUGGGUUAAAGGUUGUACUUUACAAUUGAAAAGACAUCUAAUAUGAAUGGACCCAACAAGUUUUGGGUACCUAAAAUUUUCCAAUAAUUGCAGGUACUUUGUGACGAGCAAUAUGAUAACAAGUGGUAUAUUGAUAGUGGUUGCUCACGUCACAUGACUGAGAAGAAGGAAAACUUACAUGAUUUUCGAAGUCUAGAGAAUGAUGGAGUGGUUAAGUUUGACAAUAAUCACAAGUGCAAAGUCAAGGGUUAUGGAAAGAUAACGAAUGGAACAUUCACUAUCAAUCGAGUUGCAUUUGUUGAAGGCUUACAACACAAUUUGAUAAGUGUUUCACAACUUGUUGUGGGAACUGGAAAUCAAGUUCUUUUUAAUGAAGAAGGCAGUGUCAUUUCGAAUGUUGACACAAAUGAAGUUUUACUAAAAUCAAAACGAAAAGGUGAUAUGUUUGCAUUGGAUGUAGUUCCCAUUGUUGGCAAACCUGCUGUGUGUUUACUUUCGAAGGNGAGACAAAUGAAGUUUUACUCAAGUCAAAACGAAAAGGUGAUAUGUUUACAUUGGAUAUAGUUCCCAUUGUUGGCAAACCUGUUGUGUGUUUACUUUCGAAGGCUGCUGCCGAU
rnacentral:lncRNA from 1 species